UACGUAGGGCGCAAGCGUUGUCCGGAAUUACUGGGCGUAAAGCGCGCGUAGGCGGCUUUGCAAGUCGGGUGUGAAAUCCCCAGGCUUAACCUGGGAACUGCAUUCGAGACUGCAUUGCUAGAGUAUGGGAGAGGGAAGUGGAAUUUCCGGUGUAGCGGUGAAAUGCGUAGAUAUCGGAAGGAACAUCAGUGGCGAAAGCGACUUCCUGGACCAAUACUGACGCUCAUGUGCGAAAGCGUGGGGAGCGAACAGG
rnacentral:rRNA from 1 species